AGGGUUUGAUUCUGGCUCAGGACGAACGCUGGCGGCGUGCCUAACACAUGCAAGUCGAACGAAGCACUUCUGAAUGGAGAUUCGUCAAAGUUCAGAUUUGACUUAGUGGCGGACGGGUGAGUAAUGCAUGAGCAACCUGCCCUGCAGUGGGGGACAACAGUUGGAAACGACUGCUAAUACCGCAUGAUGUAUCUGGAAGGCAUCUUCCGGAUACCAAAGAUUUAUCGCUGUGGGAUGGGCUCAUGUCUGAUUAGUUAGUUGGUGGGGUAACGGCCUACCAAGACUGCGAUCAGUAGCCGGACUGAGAGGUUGAACGGCCACAUUGGGACUGAGAUACGGCCCAG
rnacentral:rRNA from 1 species